UACGUAGGGGGCAAGCGUUGUCCGGAUUUAUUGGGCGUAAAGAGCGUGUAGGCGGUCAGAUAGGUCCGUUGUGAAAACUCGAGGCUCAACCUCGAGACGCCGAUGGAAACCAUCUGACUAGAGUCCGGAAGAGGAGAGUGGAAUUCCUGGUGUAGCGGUGAAAUGCGCAGAUAUCAGGAAGAACACCCGUGGCUAAGGCGGCUCUCUAGUACGGUACUGACGCUGAGACGCGGAAGCGUGGGGAGCGAACAGG
rnacentral:rRNA from 1 species